GGCCACUCUAACACAAUGUUGGUGUGUCUAUUAAAAAGGGGCGGAUACAGCCAUUUUCAAAAAGGGGGUUCCAAACCCAGGAUAAAGGGAGUGGGGGUUCUAACUAUAUGUCUCCAUUCAAAUGCAUUGAUUGGCUAAAAAAUGGGUUUUCAACCACCGGCCACCCUCACCCCUUGGAUCCGCAACUGAUUAAAAGGUCAACUGCAAGUAAAAUUUGAUUUCAACAAAAGGUAUCUUAAUUUCUUUGCUUUAUAAAAAUAUAAAUUAACCUUUGUCAGCUGUAACUACCAUCUAUACAAUAGUGUCCUCUUCAAAGUGAC
rnacentral:lncRNA from 1 species